GAUGAACGCUGGCGGCGUGCCUAAUACAUGCAAGUCGAGCGAACAGACGAGGAGCUUGCUCCGCUGACGUUAGCGGAGGACGGGUGAGUAACACGUGGAUAACCCACCUAUAAGACUGGGAUAACUUCGGGAAACCGGAGCAAAUACCGGAUAAUAUAUUGAACCGCAGGGUUCAAUAGUGAAAGACGGUUUUGCUGUCACUUGUAGAUGGAUCCGCGCCGCAUUAGCUAGUUGGUAAGGUAACGGCUUACCAAGGCAACGAUGCGUAGCCGACCUGAGAGGGUGAUCGGCCACACUGGAACUGAGACACGGUCCAGACUCCUACGGGAGGCAGCAGUAGGGAAUCUUCCGCAAUGGGCGAAAGCCUGACGGAGCAACGCCGCGUCAGUGAUGAAGGUCUUCGGAUCGUAAAGCUCUGUUAUUAGGGAAGAACAAAUGUGUAAGUAACUAUGCACGUCUUGACGGUACCUGGUCAGAAAGCCACGGCUAACUACGUG
rnacentral:rRNA from 1 species